AAUUUCCAGGUACAGCAAAGUCUAUGUGUUUUGAAGAUGUAUGAAGGUUGUCAUGACAGAUGUUUUCCAAAAACUUGAAGUAGAAGAUGGCUAAGAAACAACUGGGAACUCCACUGCAUGUAAUCAGCAUAUAGGUAGCUGUAGGUGAACAUUCAAGUCCUUUACCUGUGGUGUUUAAAAGUACUUCGCUGCCUCAAGUGUGGCACGCAUCAUUUUUGGAGAGAAAUGAAUUGGUCAAGAAAACAGAUGAACAGAGUAAAAUGAUGAAAAUUAAUUAAUAUUUUAUUUGACAUUGAUAACCUCACAAUAAAUAAAUGUAGAAAAAUACAA